rnacentral:rRNA from 1 species
UAGGGAAUCUUCGGCAAUGGGGGGAACCCUGACCGAGCAACGCCGCGUGAGUGAAGAAGGUUUUCGGAUCGUAAAGCUCUGUUGUUAAGGAAGAACGAGUGUGAGAAUGGAAAGUUCAUGCUGUGACGGUACUUAACCAGAAAGGGACGGCUAACUACGUGCCAGCAGCCGCGGUAAUACGUAGGUCCCGAGCGUUGUCCGGAUUUAUUGGGCGUAAAGCGAGCGCAGGCGGUUAGAAAAGUCUGAAGUGAAAGGCAGUGGCUCAACCAUUGUAGGCUUUGGAAACUGUUUAACUUGAGUGCAGAAGGGGAGAGUGGAAGUCCAUGUGGAGCGGUGAAAUGCGUAGAUAUAUGGAGGAACAACGGUGGCGAAAGCGGCUCUCUGGUCUGUAACUGACGCUGAGGCUCGAAAGCGUGGGGAGCGAACAGG